rnacentral:SRP_RNA from 1 species
GCCAGGUGUGGUGGCACACACCUGUAAUCCCAGCUACUCAGGAGGCUGAGGCAGGAGAAUUGCUUGAACCUGGGAGGUGGAGGUUGCAGUGAGCCAAGGUUGUGCCACUGGACUCCAGCCUGGGUGACAAAGCAAGACUCUGUCUCAA